UACGAAGGGGGCGAGCGUUGUUCGGAUUUACUGGGCGUAAAGGGCGCGUAGGCGGCCGAUCAAGUCAGGCGUGAAAUUCCUGGGCUUAACCUGGGGGCUGCAUUUGAUACGUGGUUGCUUGAGUGGGGAAGAGGGUCGUGGAAUUCCCAGUGUAGAGGUGAAAUUCGUAGAUAUUGGGAAGAACACCGGUGGCGAAGGCGGCGACCUGGUCCUUGACUGACGCUGAGGCGCGAAAGCGUGGGGAGCGAACAGG
rnacentral:rRNA from 1 species